AAAAGUUCCUUUUAAUUAAAUUUUCUUUGAAUUCUCUGUUCCAGCAUCAAGAAAGAGCAGCUUUUUCCUGCGAAAGUUACAGAGCAUGUUACCAAUUUAAAGUCUUGGCAUUUUGCAUUGGAUUGGAAUGGAUGAGGAGAGGGGAACAGGGACAUUUCAAAUCAAUUUAGCUGAAACAGCUGCCCUCACUUCUGUCACAAUGUUUGGACAAUUACACAAUUCUCAUGAUGAUCAUUUGGCGAUGCCCGGCCCGGCCGGAGGAAGGAAGAAAAAGGAGAGGGGAAAGGAUGGAUUUUUUUUU